UACUCGAAGCGAAACAGCGAACGGAUCACCUGAUGCGAACCGGAAGAAGCGAAUUGAGAGUUUUAAAGUGUUUGUUGAGUGUUUUAAGCA